GAUGAACGCUAGCGGCGCGCCUUAUGCAUGCAAGUCGAACGGUCUCUCGCAAGAGAGAUAGUGGCAAACGGGUGAGUAAUAGAUAAACAACCUGCCUUUAAGUGGGGGAUAACACUUUGAAAGAAGUGCUAAUACCGCGUGUGGUGCUCUUUCAUAAGAAGGAUCACUAAAACCGCAAGGUGCUUGAAGAGGGGUUUGUCUCCGAUUAGCUUGUUGGUGGGGUAAUGGCCUACCAAGGCAAUGAUCGGUAGCUGGUCUGAGAGGAUGGUCAGCCACACUGGAACUGAGAUACGGUCCAGACUCCUACGGGAGGCAGCAGCAAGGAAUCUUGGGCAAUGGGCGAAAGCCUGACCCAGCGACGCCGCGUGAGGGAUGACAGCCUUCGGGUUGUAAACCUCUUUUCUCAGGGAAGAAUAAUGACGGUACCUGAGGAAUAAGUCUCGGCUAAAUACGUGCCAGCAGCCGCGGUAAUACGUAUGAGGCGAGCGUUAUCCGGAUUUAUUGGGCGUAAAGUGGGCGUAGGUGGUCCUUCAAGUCAGAUGCGAAAUCUCCCGGCUUCAACUGGGAGCGGUCAAUCUGAUACUGUUGGACUUGAGUAUGGCAGGAGAAAACGGAAUUCCCGGUGUAGUGGUGAAAUGCGUAGAUAUCGGGAGGAACACCAGAGGCGAAGGCGGUUUUCUAGGCCAAAACUGACACUGAGGUCCGAAAGCGUGGGGAGCGAACAGGAUUAGAUACCCUGGUAGUCCACGCCCUAAACACUGGGUACUAGGUAUAGGGAGUAUCGACCCUUUCUGUGCCGAAGCUAACGCUUUUAAGUACCCCGCCCUGGGGGAGUACGGUCGCAAGACUAAAAACUCCAAAGGGAAUUGACGGGGGGCCCGCCACAAGCAGCGGAGCGUGUGGGUUUUAAUUCCGAAUGCUACACCGAAGAAACCUCACCCAGGGUUUUGACCAUGUUUAGAAGUUAGUUGAAACCGGAAAGGGGAACGACCUGUUAAGUCAGGAGCUAUCACAGGUGCUGCAUGGCUGUCGUCAGCUCGUGCCGUGAGGUGUAUGGUUAAGUCCUGCAACGAGCGCAACCCUUAUUGCCAGUUAUAUUCUCUGGCGAUACUGCCUCGCAAAACGGGGAGGAAGGUGGGGAUGACGUCAAGUCAGCAUGGCCCUUAUACCCUGGGCUACACACACGCUACAAUGGGCGGUACAAUGGGUUGCCACCGGGCGACCGGGAGCUAAUCCCCAAAACCGCCCUCAGUUCGGAUUGCAGGCUGAAACUCGCCUGCAUGAAGUAGGAGUUGCUAGUAAACGCGUGUCAGCAUAGCGCGUUGAAUACGUUCUCGGGCCUUGUACACACCGCCCGUCACGUCAUGAAAGCUGGUAACACCUGAAGUCGAUAGGCUAACCCGCAAGGGAGGCAGUCGCCCAAGGUGGGACUGGUGAUUGGGACG
rnacentral:rRNA from 1 species